GUGCGUGGCCGAGUGACCCCGCGCCCGGAUGACCCCUGGGAUCCCCGCCUCGUCUUCCAGCAGGGGACCUUGGGACUCACGGGCGGCUUCGAAUCCCGGAGCGCGAGGCCUAGCAGCCGGGAGCUGAACUUGAACCUCGGAGGCGGCUGCGGGCGAGGGGCGGGGCUGGAGUGGCCGGACCGCCGCCCCAGCUCAAGGACCCGUUAGACCCGCAAACCGCAGUCCCUGCCCCGCGGGCUUCCUUUACUUUUUGGGAGUGGGGCGCAGUGGGGGGGGCUUCCCUGCUUUUUCCACCACAGCCGCUUCUCCCGCCGCAGUGUGGCUGAUGCUUAUAAAAAGUUGUAUUAAAGAGCUGACUGCAGCCGAGAAUCGAUCAACAAAAACGACCAGCCUCUCUGGGUCUAUCCAUGGCCUUCUCAACAGAUGACUUCAAGUUGAUUUCGUGCUUUAUUUCUUAAGAAUAGUGACUAACCUACGGGAUCUGAUUCAAUUUAUUAGGAACACAGUGCCACCUUCCAAAAUUACUUACCUAAGAGGACUGAGCCUGCUGUCCCUGGAGCAGUUAGCUAAAACAGUGCCUCAGUACGGAGUGUACCUGUGUUAACUUCUAGAGUGCUGUUUCCGGCAGCUGCUGAAAUCCACGCUGAGGUUAUCAAGCUCAUCCUACAAAAUAAAGCAAGUUCUUUGCAAUUUAAA